UCCAGACCAGCCAUGGCUUUGAAGGGCCUCCUUUCCAUGCAUCCCACUGCUGGCAGGACUGUGAGCGUGAGGCGCUUUUCAGGUAACUGCUUGGUUUGCAGCUGCAACAUAGAAGGAGGGAAAUGGUGAAGGAGACUGACACAGCAUGAGAGCCUGCAGCAGACAGUGACUGGUGACUCUGGCAGGAAGCACUGAAAUGUGGAUGGUAAUGCUGACCCCAACACAAGGUCCCAUAUCCAGGGGGCUUGAGACUGAGGUGGUGCCCACCAGAGUGGGACAAAGGACAUGAUCAGAGAACCUCUGAAGAUCUUUACUUCAUGAGGGCAAGACAAGACUGAAGGACAAGGAAGUGUGGCCCAGUGAAGAAGUGUUCUCUCACAAGGUGGCACCAUAGCUGUCAUCAAAACACCUUCCAUUAUGACUGUUGACACUGAAGUGAAGAUAAGCUUUCAAAAAGGUUGGUACACACCCUGACUUGUUUUAUUCCUGAGUCAUUUUUUGAGUCAUUUAUGGCCUGAUUUCUUUGUCUCUGCACUUCCUAGCAUGACAAAAGACAUGGGGCAGGUAUUGAGAUGGCAUCUUUUUUCUCUUUUAAUCUAUGAGGCACCACAAAAAAACAAUCAAUGGGCAUGGAGACUGCUCUGGAUGUGUCUAAGAGUAAGUGGCUCAAAUACUAACAUGUGAAUUUAGUAAAGUUAAACUCUGUGGAAUGGAGAUAAAUGGCAGCAGCAAUUGAAGUUGAAUGUGAUAUAGAAAUCCAACAGAAGACUGUCUGGAAACAAUUAUUCAGAAAGCUGCUGACCCUCUAUUUCUUUAAAAAGUUAAACAUUUGGAUCAGUUAACUGGCAGCUGCAAUAAUAGGCAUAUGCUCUAAUCUUUGAUCCAUAGCUGAAUUUCCAACCCUUUGUAUGAGAAGCAGAUCAUAUAGAUUUGCAUAUUUUCAACGAUCUAUAGGGAGAAAAAGAAGAACAAAACCUGCCUUUGCAAGAUGCCACUUUGAAAUCACACAGAGUGUCAUGGGUCCUCCCAAGUACACUAAUGUUCAGAGCCACUUGCAAGACUCACAAAUGUUAUAAAUGGCCCUAAACUGUGACAUUGGCAUCUGAAGAUUCAAAAUUCCUCCAAGAACAGACUCUUGUAAGCCAAGGUUGCAUCAUAACUCUUCAGAGAGUUACGUACAUCUAUCCUUAAGAUCUUAUUUCCACAUCCAAAUUUGUGUCAGAACUUUCAGAAAGACUUAAAGAGCCCAGAACUAAUAGGUAAAUUUAAAAAUUCUUUGUAACUAAAUGAGGAACUGUUGACUAGAACCAAAUGCAUGAGCAAGUAACAGAUUUAUGCCAAGGUCGUGACAUUUUCUUAGAUUUGUCAAAAUUUUUCAGUGUUGAUGAAAAUUUGCAGACAGAAGACAGCCAUGAAUCACCCCCAGAAUAGAAUGGAUGCAAUUAAUCUUUUUUUUGUGUUUAAAGUUCAUUUCUGGCUCAUUUCUGUUUGGAACACCAGCUGAAAGAUGUUUACUAAUUACUUAUUUUGAAUCAACAGUCACACCUAUGGCACAGAUCUCCUCCACUCAGUAGUAUUUCAUCAGGAAGUAGGUCCUACCGAGAGAAGUGAGCAAUAUACUGAGUACUGUGAAGUGAAGAAGUAAUCAUCCCUGCAAAUGUGCUCAAUUGUGUGGGAUGUUCCAACAUAGUCUUUACUCGAUUCACACUUUACAAUAGGCUUUUUGUCCUGGUUCACCUACACAACAGUCUUUGACAUCAAUGAAGAUGAUGAGAGCAGCUAUUUGUUAUUUGUGAAUAUUUCCUAUCAUCCCAAACAAAAGUGCAGACUACUGCAUGGGACUGUGCAGAAAUUUUUGAGAAAGGCAAUGCAAAGAAAUCAUUCUCCAAAAAAUAUUCUGUGUAGCUUUCUUGUAGUUGCCCACAGUAAGAUAUAUGGGAGCAUGGAGGUUUUUUAGAAGCCUGACUGACGCAGGAGGCAGAACUUACAGGCACUAUCUGUCUUGUCCUAUCUUCCUUGUUAAGUCCUGGCAAAAAUCCCAUAAAGAGGAGAGGAAGGUGUUGCACACUCCUGGGUAAGGUGUAGUUAGGGGGUGAGGAGAUGCAAUGGUGGGUAUGAUCAGACCACUGGCAGGUGAACCAGAACUUGAGGUUUAAACAAUAGUUUCAGUAUCUUAGAGAGGAAGAGAGUAGAGAAAGUGAAUGGCACGCAAGUUUUAAUGAGAAAAAUUGAUUGCUGAUGCAGAGAUUUUGAGAAGGGACCAGCCUGUGUCCUGACAGGACAUGUUCCACACCAUAAAGAGACUUCAAAGUAACCCAAAAGCCAAAAUAAAAGUUUGCUGCUUUUUGUACCUUUCCAACAGCACUAGUUGGUACUCUUCUCUCACCAGCAUGGCCAUGUAACAGGCUUUUCAAGUUCUGGAAGCAUUAUUAAAAUAAAAGGCCAAGUCUUGCCUUGCUUCCUAGUUAAGAAGAGCUAUAGAUCUCUAUAGGAAUAUUCUUUAUUGUUGUCUUCUGUGCUUUGUACACCUUUGGGUGACUCUUCCCAAUGGCCUUUGAAAGAUUUUGAUCUCCUUAUUUUUUGGACAUUGUGUAACUUGCGUGUUUUGUGAGAAGGCAGAGUGUAAAAAUGGAGAAAUUGCCUUAUGUGCUGUAUGGUAUGAUUUCAAUAACUUCACUUAGUUAUUGCUAACCAUAUUUUAUAAAUAUCAACACAUAAUAUUUUUUCUGGCCAUUGAAAUGAUGCUUUCAAAGUAAUUCAAAUAUGUAUUCUGAUAUAUUUUGUUAAUAUUACAAUUGUACAAAGUUGGUUAUAUCAGUUAGGAGAAACACCUUGAAAUUGCCUCCCUACAAUUUAUUAUCUGUAUCUUAACUUUGUACAGUACUACAAGAUCAUUUUGCUCCUAUGCUAAGUGGAAUCCUAGUAUAUCACUACAUUCAGUCAAAAUAUUGCAAGUUAAAAUAAUAAUACCUGUAGAUUAUGAAAAUUAUACCAAGAAUGCAAGCAUUUCUCCUUACAUAAAGCAUAAAAACUGGAUAUAAUUUCAAUUAAAACAGAUUAGAAAAUGGAUGUUUGGGAGGUAUUGUCAUUAUUGUGGGCUACAGUAAAAGAAAAACAUGCAUCAAAUUAGAAUUACUUCCCCUAAAUUAAAAAUGUUAAUCAACCAAGACUUUAAUAAGGAGAUAGUAUCACCUUAGUGGUUUGGUCUAAGGCGAUUGCUGACAGUGCCUCUGUAGUUGAGAGAGAAAGGGACACUUCAUUAAAAACAGAUACUUAUUUUCACAUGGAGAUACCAUCCUAUGAUGGCCAUAUGAAAUGGUCAAAAGCCUUUUGAAACAUCUCUGAAAACAGCGAUCUGGAGAUGCCACCUGUGACAGACAGGAAAAGAAAAUUACCUGAAACAAGAUAGCUAAUUCUAAGACAGCCACAGCAACUUAUAAAGAAUCCUGCUCUGUACAUGGAUUCCCAAAUUUUAGAAAACAAAAGGCCCAAUUAAUUUCUAAGGUAUUUUCAUUUUUUAUAAACAGAUGUGCUAAGGAUGAGCAUGCCUGCUUGUGUCUUAACAUAGAUUUCAUAGUCUGGACUUCAACUGACAGCUCUGCAGUUAUGAAUCUUGAGACAUAUUCCACCUCAAUUUAGGAAGUUCUAGGAAGCUCCGGGUCCUUAUUCACAAAAUAUGAGAAAUAUGAGCUGUCAGAUCUUAAUUCUUCAUUUAAAAUAAGUUAAUAAAAUAAGGAUGCCCACAGUAGGCUUUCUACAGCUUCUCCUUUCAGAAAGCCAGGACAAACUCAACAGCAUAGAUACUUUUCUCUUUGAUGGAUCAAGUCACGGAACAGAUUUCUGAUAUAGUCUCCAUAUAGGGCCUUAGGCAGCUAUAGCGAAUAUCAACCCCAUAUCCAUACCCUAUCAAAGGCAUGUUUGUCUGUGUCUCACACAUAUGUAUCUCUAGUGAGUGCAGUAUAAAUUAAAAUAAUUUCUUGGGUUUGACUCUAUAAACAAACCAAGUAAUGGUCAUCAGAGUUCAAUGAAAUAAGUUUUAAGUCACAAAGCUCAGUAGCAUUUGUGAGCAUGUGUUUUCAUAAAACUGAUGUUCUUUUUAAUUAUCUGGACUGAAGGCAAAUCUACACCAGCCAGAGAAUAAAACAUGACAUGGAGAGUAUUUGCCCCAUUUCUGAUGUUUUAGUUCUGUCCUUCAAAAUAAUUAAAGACUGGAUUUGCCAUACGGCAGUUUCUGUCUUUCUCAAAACAGAAAGGGAGUGGGAAGAAACAGAAAUAAACAUAUAUGAGAGAAAGAGCAGGAAAGAGAAAGGAUAGCUCCAACCCUCCAACUUCCCUUUAUGAAAGACUAAAGGCCAAAGGGCUUUUCACUUGAUGAGGGCCAGACCACAGGCUUGGAUACAAACCCCACUCUUCUUGGGUUCUGAUGCUGAGUACUCAUCCUGCCCCUUUGCUGUGAUGUGUCAGGGGAUGGAUUGCAAAAGCACUAGAGAAGGGUCUCCUGCAGGACCAGCUCCUCACCUGAACAUCUCCCUGGGGACACUGCCAGUUUGCAUUGGUGAGGCUUUAACCCGCCUAUGACAGGUGUAGUGCAGAGGAACGAUACUGGGCUUAAAAAGCCAGUGAAGUAAGAUGUGCUGAGAGUGGCUGUAGCAACAUACAGAAAAAUCCUUCAGUGGAACAGCAAGAGAAUACCAGUUGAGAGACAUGUUUCACCUGUUGGUGAUUAUUCUUAGCCUGGACUUCGCACAAAGACAUUGCAGAGAUC